CGUACCUUUUAUUUUCAAGUCUGUGGCGUCAAGUGUCAAUCAACAUAAUAAUAAAUACCUACUCGGAUUUUUAAAUAAACAAAGUAAACUGACUUAUUUAGUCACAGAGUACAUUAUUAUGACUGGUAUUUAGUUCAGUUUAUUUACGAGAUUCUGUCAAAACCAAAACGAGAAGCUUUGUUUGUUUUCGUUUUUAAUUGUUGACUAAUAUUUUAAAAAUAAGUGCUAAAUAUGGUUUAUGGAUGGACUGUGAGGUUAUGUAGAAUCUACAGGCAGAAAAUAAGCUUUAUAUUAUGACUUAUUGCUUACGUUCGCAAUAACAAAUUUGUUCAAGAGAGGAGAAGAAUUAAUCCAUCCCAAAUGUAAAUAAUAAUACGAUUCUCCACAAAAACAUAGGUAGUAGACACAAGAAAGGGAUUUCUACAUUUGCUACUAAGAAGGAUAUGGGAUCAUGAAGGAUUUCAUCUGUUUUAAUACCAGUAAAAUGGAAUGAGCGCCGUGGCCGUGACUGUGUUUGGUACAUAAAGAAUGACAAACAUUCAACUUGAAAUUAUGAGUGCAUUACGGGCAAGGGCACAAUAAGUUGCCCUUUGACUAAUAACUUGUACUUAAUUUUAAGGAACACGAAAAUGGAUGGCUAGAAUAGGUAUAAUCGCAUACAUAGUAUUUAUUUCUAGUCUGUUGUAUAAAUAAUCAAAGACUACAAAAUAUAAUGAACUAUGUCUUUAUUAUUAAUUCUACAGUUUACAGUGUAGUGUGUAAUCUAUUGUAUGUGUGCGUCUAGAAUAUAUAGUCCUGUUGUUCUACAGUUUAAGCAGUUCAAUACAAGCUUACAGUCGA